rnacentral:rRNA from 1 species
UGGGGAAUAUUGGACAAUGGGCGAAAGCCUGAUCCAGCCAUGCCGCGUGUGUGAAGAAGGUCUUCGGAUUGUAAAGCACUUUAAGUUGGGAGGAAGGGCAGUAAGCGAAUACCUUGCUGUUUUGACGUUACCGACAGAAUAAGCACCGGCUAACUCUGUGCCAGCAGCCGCGGUAAUACAGAGGGUGCAAGCGUUAAUCGGAAUUACUGGGCGUAAAGCGCGCGUAGGUGGUUCGUUAAGUUGAAUGUGAAAGCCCCGGGCUCAACCUGGGAACUGCAUCCAAGUCUGGCGAGCUAGAGUAGGGCAGAGGGUGGUGGAAUUUCCUGUGUAGCGGUGAAAUGCGUAGAUAUAGGAAGGAACACCAGUGGCGAAGGCGACCACCUGGGCUCAUACUGACACUGAGGUGCGAAAGCGUGGGGAGCAAACAGG